rnacentral:rRNA from 11 species
AAAUUGAAGAGUUUGAUCAUGGCUCAGAUUGAACGCUGGCGGCAGGCCUAACACAUGCAAGUCGAACGGUAACAGGAAGCAGCUUGCUGCUUCGCUGACGAGUGGCGGACGGGUGAGUAAUGUCUGGGAAACUGCCUGAUGGAGGGGGAUAACUACUGGAAACGGUGGCUAA